rnacentral:lncRNA from 1 species
UCUACAAUCCUAAAAAGAAAGAAAAAACAAAGACUAGGGAAAUAAACAAGGAAAAGAAAAAUGUAUAGACUUUUCGAUAAGUUGAUCCCUGUUCCUUAGCUCAAUAAGACUUUUGAAGACUCAUCCUUCUCGAAGAACUUGAAGAAGCUAAUUUUAGCAAAAAUGCUAGAAAGAAAAAAAGUCAAAACUUUAAAGAAUUCUAUCAAAUUUGUAACACCCCGUCCAUCACUGUGCUAAAAUGAUUUAGAAACUCUACUUAUUCGGACCUUUGGCCGCCU